GAGCUCGUGGCUCAACGCUAGCGCGUCUGACUCCAGAUCAGAAGGCUGCGUAUUCGAAUCACGUCGGGCUCA
rnacentral:tRNA from 1 species